rnacentral:lncRNA from 1 species
UUUGUUUGUUUGUUUGUCUGUGAGCAACUUUACGGAGAAAGUAACAGACGGAUUGACCUGAAAUUUUCACCAGAGGUGCGUCUCAGCCCCAGGAGGAUCCCAUUACAUUUUGGUGGUGAUCCGGAUCGCCUUCUGGAUCCAGGAAUUUUUUGAAGGAUUCUUUAUCAUUGUGAGAUAGGGCAAAUUUUGGAAUUUUUGCAUUUAACUCUAUAAAAAUGUCCAGAGUCUUUAGUAAAAAAUGACACAAAAGGAUCUCAAUGAGUUUUAUGAGGUGUCAAAGGUUGAUCCUGAUCCAGACAAAAUUCCGGAUACUGUGAUCCAGAACACACAAAAAUAAGGGUGUUGUUGGAAUUUUCAAUGCUGAAAGAUAACCAAUGGGCGGCACAGUGGUGUAGAUAGGUGGCACAUUGGUGUAGUGGUUAGCACUGUCGCCUCACAGCCAGA